UGCAAUGAGUGCCAGGAUGUUUUCAGAUGGAAUUGGCCUGUUAACCGCGGAAGGGUUGGCAGCACACGGAUGGUGAAGUAUUUGCAAUUGGAUGCUGGCGGGAAGCGCACUCAGGAUGAGUGGUAGCGAAUGGAUUGCGCCCAAGGAUGAUUUUUCUUUCAGGAUGAAGGACGUAGUGGCAGGGAUUGCAUUUAUAGCAGAUGGAAAAACUGGGAUGUUGAAUGUGCGCAUGGAGCGCGUAGCAGCCAUAUCCUUCAAACGAAGGACUGAAAAAGGCGGCAGGUUUAACCUGUCGCCUUUUUUAUUU
rnacentral:sRNA from 16 species